UCAAAACACCAGUUCUUGUUUGAUCACCGAAGUUAAGCAGUGUUAAUCUGGGUCAAUACCUAGAUGGGUGACCACUUUGGAAUACCAGGGGCUGUAAG